rnacentral:rRNA from 1 species
GAUGAACGCUAGCGGGAGGCUUAACACAUGCAAGUCGAGGGGCAGCAUAGGGUAGCAAUACUCUGAUGGCGACCGGCAAACGGGUGAGUAACGCGUAUGCAACCUACCCUGUACAGGGGGAUAACCCGGAGAAAUUCGGACUAAUAUCCCGUAAUAAUAUCCGGAGGCAUCUUUGGAUAUUUAAAGUUCCGACGGUACGGGAUGGGCAUGCGUAACAUUAGCUGGUUGGUAAGGUAACGGCUUACCAAGGCUAUGAUGUUUAGGGGUCCUGAGAGGGUGGUCCCCCACACUGGUACUGAGACACGGACCAGACUCCUACGGGAGGCAGCAGUGAGGAAUAUUGGUCAAUGGGCGCAAGCCUGAACCAGCCAUCCCGCGUGCAGGAAGACGGCCCUAUGGGUUGUAAACUGCUUUUCCAGGGAGAGAAACUUACGCACGUGUUGCGUGACUGACGGUACCCUGGGAAUAAGCAUCGGCUAACUCCGUGCCAGCAGCCGCGGUAAGCACGAGAGUA